GGGUUGUGAGGUUAAGUGACUAAGCGUACACGGUGGAUGCCUAGGCAGUCAGAGGCGAUGAAGGGCGUGCUAAUCUGCGAAAAGCGUCGGUAAGGUGAUAUGAACCGUUACAACCGGCGAUACCCGAAUGGGGAAACCCAGUGUGUUUCGACACACUAUCAUGUCAUGAAUACAUAGUGGCAUGAGGCGAACCGGGGGAACUGAAACAUCUAAGUACCCCGAGGAAAAGAAAUCAACCGAGAUUCCCCCAGUAGCGGCGAGCGAACGGGGAGGAGCCCAGAACCUGAAUCGGCUUGUGUGUUAGUGGAAGCGUCUGGAAAGUCGCGCAGCAAAGGGUGAUAGCCCCGUACACUAAAAUGCACAUGUCGUGAGUUCGAUGAGUAGGGCGGGACACGUGACAUCCUGUCUGAAUAUGGGGGGACCAUCCUCCAAGGCUAAAUACUCCUGACUGACCGAUAGUGAACCAGUACCGUGAGGGAAAGGCGAAAAGAACCCCGGCGAGGGGAGUGAAAUAGAACCUGAAACCGUGUACGUACAAGCAGUGGGAGCACCUUCGUGGUGUGACUGCGUACCUUUUGUAUAAUGGGUCAGCGACUUAUAUUUUGUAGCAAGGUUAACCGUAUAGGGGAGCCGUAGGGAAACCGAGUCUUAACUGGGCGACUAGUUGCAAGGUAUAGACCCGAAACCCGGUGAUCUAGCCAUGGGCAGGUUGAAGGUUGGGUAACACUAACUGGAGGACCGAACCGACUAAUGUUGAAAAAUUAGCGGAUGACUUGUGGCUGGGGGUGAAAGGCCAAUCAAACCGGGAGAUAGCUGGUUCUCCCCGAAAGCUAUUUAGGUAGCGCCUCGUGAACUCAUCUUCGGGGGUAGAGCACUGUUUCGGCUAGGGGGCCAUCCCGGCUUACCAAACCGAUGCAAACUCCGAAUACCGAAGAAUGUUAUCACGGGAGACACACGGCGGGUGCUAACGUCCGUCGUGAAGAGGGAAACAACCCAGACCGCCAGCUAAGGUCCCAAAGUCAUGGUUAAGUGGGAAACGAUGUGGGAAGGCAUAGACAGCCAGGAUGUUGGCUUAGAAGCAGCCAUCAUUUAAAGAAAGCGUAAUAGCUCACUGGUCGAGUCGGCCUGCGCGGAAGAUGUAACGGGGCUAAACCAUGCACCGAAGCUGCGGCAGCGACGCUUAGGCGUUGUUGGGUAGGGGAGCGUUCUGUAAGCCGUUGAAGGUGGCCUGUGAGGGUUGCUGGAGGUAUCAGAAGUGCGAAUGCUGACAUAAGUAACGAUAAAGCGGGUGAAAAGCCCGCUCGCCGGAAGACCAAGGGUUCCUGUCCAACGUUAAUCGGGGCAGGGUGAGUCGACCCCUAAGGCGAGGCUGAAAAGCGUAGUCGAUGGGAAACAGGUUAAUAUUCCUGUACUUGGUGUUACUGCGAAGGGGGGACGGAGAAGGCUAGGCUGGCCGGGCGACGGUUGUCCCGGUUUAAGCGUGUAGGGGGUGUGACCUGGUAAAUCCGGUUGCAUAUCAACCCUGAGGCGUGAUGACGAUGCACUACGGUGCAGAAGUAGUUGAUGCCCUGCUUCCAGGAAAAUCCUCUAAGCUCCAGGUAACAUUAAAUCGUACCCCAAACCGACACAGGUGGUCAGGUAGAGAAUACCAAGGCGCUUGAGAGAACUCGGGUGAAGGAACUAGGCAAAAUGGUGCCGUAACUUCGGGAGAAGGCACGCUGGCAUGUAGGUGAAGUCCCUCGCGGAUGGAGCUGAAGCCAGUCGAAGAUACCAGCUGGCUGCAACUGUUUAAUAAAAACACAGCACUGUGCAAACACGAAAGUGGACGUAUACGGUGUGACGCCUGCCCGGUGCUGGAAGGUUAAUUGAUGGGGUCAGCCGCAAGGCGAAGCUCUUGAUCGAAGCCCCAGUAAACGGCGGCCGUAACUAUAACGGUCCUAAGGUAGCGAAAUUCCUUGUCGGGUAAGUUCCGACCUGCACGAAUGGCGUAAUGAUGGCCAGGCUGUCUCCACCCGAGACUCAGUGAAAUUGAACUCGCUGUGAAGAUGCAGUGUACCCGCGGCAAGACGGAAAGACCCCGUGAACCUUUACUAUAGCUUGACACUGAACAUUGAGCCUUGAUGUGUAGGAUAGGUGGGAGGCUUUGAAGCGUGGACGCCAGUCUGCGUGGAGCCAUCCUUGAAAUACCACCCUUUAAUGUUUGAUGUUCUAACUCGGCCCCAUAAUCUGGGGUGAGGACAGUGUCUGGUGGGUAGUUUGACUGGGGCGGUCUCCUCCCAAAGAGUAACGGAGGAGCACGAAGGUUAGCUAAUCACGGUCGGACAUCGUGAGGUUAGUGCAAAGGCAUAAGCUAGCUUGACUGCGAGAGUGACGGCUCGAGCAGGUACGAAAGUAGGUCUUAGUGAUCCGGUGGUUCUGAAUGGAAGGGCCAUCGCUCAACGGAUAAAAGGUACUCCGGGGAUAACAGGCUGAUACCGCCCAAGAGUUCAUAUCGACGGCGGUGUUUGGCACCUCGAUGUCGGCUCAUCACAUCCUGGGGCUGAAGUAGGUCCCAAGGGUAUGGCUGUUCGCCAUUUAAAGUGGUACGCGAGCUGGGUUUAGAACGUCGUGAGACAGUUCGGUCCCUAUCUGCCGUGGGCGUUGGAAGAUUGAGAGGGGUUGCUCCUAGUACGAGAGGACCGGAGUGAACGCACCACUGGUGUUCGGGUUGUCAUGCCAAUGGCAUUGCCCGGUAGCUAAGUGCGGAAAAGAUAAGCGCUGAAAGCAUCUAAGCGCGAAACUUGCCUCAAGAUGAGUCUUCCCUGGGCCUUUAAGGCCCCUGAAGGAACGUUUAAGACUAAGACGUUGAUAGGCUGGAUGUGUAAGUGCAGCGAUGCAUUGAGCUAACCAGUACUAAUGAUCCGUGAGGCUUAACCUUACAACACCGAAGGUGUUU
rnacentral:rRNA from 1 species